rnacentral:rRNA from 1 species
ACCUAGUAUUGGGUGGAAAGUGGCGAACGGGUGAGUAACACGUUGGUGACCUGUCCCGAGGAGGGGGAUAACCGUGGGAAACCACGGCUAAUACCCCAGAUGUCUGGAUUGUUAGAGGAUCUAGACUAAAGCUCCGGCGCCUUGGGAGGGACCUGCGGGCUAUCAGCUUGUUGGUGGGGUAAAGGCCUACCAAGGCUAAGACGGCUAGGGGGCGUGAGAGCGCGACCCCCCCACAAUGGAACUGAGACACGGUCCAG